rnacentral:rRNA from 1 species
AUUGAACGCUGGCGGCAUGCUUUACACAUGCAAGUCGAACGGUAACAGGCCGCAAGGUGCUGACGAGUGGCGAACGGGUGAGUAAUGCAUCGGAACGUGCCCAGUCGUGGGGGAUAACUACUCGAAAGAGUAGCUAAUACCGCAUACGAUCUAUGGAUGAAAGCGGGGGACCGUAAGGCCUCGCGCGAUUGGAGCGGCCGAUGUCAGAUUAGGUAGUUGGUGGGGUAAAGGCUCACCAAGCCAACGAUCUGUAGCUGGUCUGAGAGGACGACCAGCCACACUGGGACUGAGACACGGCCCAGACUCCUACGGGAGGCAGCAGUGGGGAAUUUUGGUCAAUGGGCGUAAGCCUGAUCCAGCAAUGCCGCGUGCAGGAAGAAGGCCUUCGGGUUGUAAACUGCUUUUGUACGGAACGAAACGGCUCUGGUUAAUACCCGGGGCUAAUGACGGUACCGUAAGAAUAAGCACCGGCUAACUACGUG